GCCAGUGUGGCAUAGUGGUUUGAGAACUGGACUAUGACUCUGGAGACCAGAGUUCGAAUCCCCACUCAGCCA